ensembl:lncRNA
AGAACCAGGAACUGCUGUCCUUGCAUGACUCCAUCCCUCCCCCCAUUAUCCUCUAUGCAUAACUUAAGUGGCUGGCAGAGAAAAUGGUCUGUGGUCUACAGAUUUCAAGCUCCUGGAGGAUGGGGUUCCAUAAACUGUAUAGCAACCAAGUUCCCUCUCCUAGGCUCCAAGCUGCCCAGCCUCCCACCUGUAGACUCAAAACACCACCAGGUUUGGAGACUCAUGGCAGCCCACUCCAGUCCUCUUGCCUGGAAAAUCCCACGGACGAAGGAGCCUGGCGGGUUACAGUCCCUGGGGUCGCAGAGAGUCGGACAGGACUGAGCGACUUCACUUUCACUUUCCGAGACUCAUGCCAAAACGUCCGCACGGAACCCUUCUCUCAGAACUGCAUCGCGCCUGAUUUCCUGCCGGUGCCAUGUUCCUCUGUGACUUUGAUGGCAUCCCUCCCUUCCUUUCCUCGGGGCACGGAGCGAUCUCCGAGCUCUAUUAGCCCAGCACCAAGUGCAGGUCAGUACUACCUGCAAUCAUCCCCCGGCACCGACCACCUGCCGGCUUGGACGCUCACUGCCUGCCUGCUGCCAGUUUGAGAGCCCUCAGCCACCAGCCAGGACAUCUGUCCCCAGACCACUGCCAGGCCUCCCAGCUACCAGCCACCCGCCCGCAGGCCCGCCUCACACGCUCGCUGGGUGGAAGCCAAGCGGUCCUCUGCUGCCCACCCGCGGGUCCUGCAGCACCAGCCGAAACCAGACCUGAACGCGGAUGUGAGCCCUGAAUCAACACAGGGACAGGAUGGCUCUCAUUAUUUCUGAAAUGAGUGCAUUGUUUUCUGUACUUGAAUGCGCUGUCUUAAUACCUAUAUUUACUCUAUUUUGUAGCUCACUUUUUAUUAUCUAAUUUGUUCGUCAACUGGCCUUUCUCUGGAGGUAAAGCACAUAUUCAGGAAAGUGCACAACACAUAACUAUGUAUCAUCACAUAGCAAGCAUAUCCAAGCA